GAUGAACGCUGGCGGCGUGCCUAAUACAUGCCAGUCGAGCGAACGGACGAGAAGCUUGCUUCUCUGAUGUUAGCGGCGGACGGGUGAGUAACACGUGGAUAACCUACCUAUAAGACUGGGAUAACUUCGGGAAACCGGAGCUAAUACCGGAUAAUAUUUUGAACCGCAUGGUUCAAAAGUGAAAGACGGUCUUGCUGUCACUUAUAGAUGGAUCCGCGCUGCAUUAGCUAGUUGGUAAGGUAACGGCUUACCAAGGCAACGAUGCAUAGCCGACCUGAGAGGGUGAUCGGCCACACUGGAACUGAGACACGGUCCAGACUCCUACGGGACGCAGCAGUAGGGAAUCUUCCGCAAUGGGCGAAAGCCUGACGGAGCAACGCCGCGUGAGUGAUGAAGGUCUUCGGAUCGUAAAACUCUGUUAUUAGGGAAGAACAUAUGUGGAAGUAACUGUGCACAUCUUGACGGUACCUAAUCAGAAAGCCACGGCUAACUACGUG
rnacentral:rRNA from 1 species